rnacentral:rRNA from 1 species
CCUACGGGUGGCUGCAGUGGGAAAUAUUGGGCAAUGGGCGCAAGCCUGACCCAGCAACGCCGCGUGAAGGAAGAAGGCUUUCGGGUUGUAAACUUCUUUUGUCAGGGACGAAGCAAGUGACGGUACCUGACGAAUAAGCCACGGCUAACUACGUGCCAGCAGCCGCGGUAAUACGUAGGUGGCAAGCGUUAUCCCGAUUUACUGGGUGUAAAGGGCGUGUAGGUGGGGAGGCCAGUCAGGUGUGAAAACCACGGGCUCAAACUGUUGCCUGCAUUUGAAACUGUUUUUCUUGAGUGCUGGAGAGGCAAUCGGAAGUCCGUGUGUAGCGGUGAAAUGCGUAGAUAUACGGAGGAACACCAGUGGCGAAGGCACAUUGCUGGACAGUAACUGACGCUGAGGCGCGAAAGCGUGGGGAGCAAACAGGAUUAGAUACCCGGGUAGUC